rnacentral:lncRNA from 1 species
UUGAAAUAGUUUUUGACAUGGGGAGGGAGAGGGUGUGGUAGUAGUUAGUAGGGAUUUAUUUGGUUUUGAAUGUUAUUUUCAUGGUAGCACAGAACUGGGCAGAUCAUGGUUGAUCGUACAUUUCAGCACAGUAGGUGGCAGCAUGCACUUUAAACGUUUGUUUGCGGACCACCAUGAUAUCAUAGUAGUAGAAGAAGAAGAAGCAGCCGAAAACUCGUUGGCUACACAGACUCACCAAAGACUUUUAUAACUUAACCAGGAUAGACCACAGCUCGUCGUUUCAAAUAGAAACACCCGAGUCAUAGUGGGCAGAACAAGCAAGGAGGUGGACAGAGCCAAGCACGAACUAGCGAGAUCCAAUUGGCGAGUUCUAGCAGUAUUUCCCUUAGGCAACACCUACUCUAUGAAAUGCGUGUGUGCAAUAACUCAAUUCGCCUUUGUGCUCCUUCUAAACAACGCAAUUUUGUUUUACUUUGGCAAAGGGCUGAUGCAGAAGUCAACCCCAAGGCCUACCCUCUGGCUGAUGCCACACUGAGCAAAACCAUCCUGGACCUUGUGCAGCAAGCUGCUAAUUUACAAGCAGCUCUGCAAAGGGGCCAAUGAAGCAGGCCCUGGGACGCGCCUGUGGGGUCUCACGCCCAGUCAUUGCCACUUCGGUCACCAUCAAGGAGGGCUCGCAGCUCAAGCCCCAGAUCCAGUCUACCCAGAUGGCCAUUGAGAGACUGCUGGUGUGAYCAGAGAGCUCAGGGUGGGGGUUGUAGGGUUAAUGGGACACCACCUGCUUUGGUCAUAUUCAGAUUUUUGUAAAUGGGACGGACUAUGAUUUAAUGUUGUCCUGCUUUGUUUCAUGUCCUGUCAGACUUAUGUACAGAAGAUUCUAUUUUGUAGGGCUGUGUCCAUUUUGAAAUGUUGGGACAGAAUAGGUAUAUCUGAAGCGUUGGAACAAAAAUGGCUUAAAAACAACAUUACUAUGUUCUAAAUGUGGUAAUUCUAUGUAGAGUAUACGGGAUGUCAAACUAAGCAUAGUAGAAUCAUAGC